rnacentral:lncRNA from 1 species
UGGUGGAGCGUUUAGGAGUCUCAACAUGUAAAGGGUGGUUGGAGUUUCAAAGAGCUGAGAAAGAACUUGACGAGGGAUGGCAGAGAGGUACGAAGUUCAGGAAAGUGAUGUCGUGAAGCCAAGGGAGAGAGAUGUGAGAAGAGAAUGGCAACAUGUUGAAAGUUGCACGGAGGUCAAAUAAAAGGGAAGACACCUCCAUACAUUUAGGAAAAAGCUGGAGGCAGAAACGAGACUGUAGUGCGUUGGAGAGUGAAUGGGAGAGAGAUGAACAUAGUGUAUAUGCUGGCCUAAGAAAGGCAAGCAAGAGAUUGGGCAGGACCCAGAGGAGAUGUUGGAUUGUGGGAGGUGUCUGCAUUCCUUCAAAAGCAGACCUUGAAACAGAAUUGAGUGCAAGUGGUUUAUUUUGGAGAUGAUCCCAGGAAACACCAAUAUGGGUGGCGGGUGAAGAAAGGAGACAUCAGUAAAGAAUAUUUCAGCAAGCAAGAUGAAUGUGGGAAUAUGGAGCUUAACUUUAUUGGGUAACCCUGGAAGACAGUAUGGACUGUGUAUUCAAAGUUAAUUCCCCAUUAACUUUGGGGAGCUGGGAUAUAUUUAUCCACCAAUUUUAGUCAUUGGUUGAGCUUCCGUUCCUUGGGGAUUGGGGAAGCAUUAAUUUCCCAGGCACCUUUAGCAGGCCAUGUGCAUGGGGAAAGGAGGCUCUGGCAGCCAGAUAAAGUCCUCACGUAAAAAGACAGGAGAUGGCAGUUGGAAGUUGGAUGAAAGUGAUGAAAAUGUCACAAGGUACCCCAGUGAGCCAAGAGUGUGUAUCAACCAUUGGGUGCUAGACCAGGAAGGAGUCAGAAGAACAAAUCAGUCUGAAGAGUCUGAUUAUUAUUUAAUGGGUGAGUCUAGCUGGAAGUUUUGAAAGGAGGUUAGAGAACAGAGCUGAAAAGUGGCAGCAAGAGUCAAAUUCAAGGAGCAGGCAGGAGGCCAGGGACAAAAAAUAGGAUCAGGAACCAGAGAAAUCAAAUACAGUUUAGGAAGCCGAGUUCAAGAUUGGUUCAAGUUUAUGGUGUAGGUUGAAGGCUGUGGAUAAGGAGAGAAAAUAAGGACGCAUGUUUUUUAGGGGGAUCCAUGUGGGCAAAGAGAUGGACAGCAAGCCCAAAGCCCUGUCCCUACUUGGUUUUCCCUUAUUCCCUGAGCCUCACUCCUGCUGAAAUCCAGGAGUCCAUGGGAUCCAGUUUGAAGGUCACUGAGGAAUUGGAGUGAGUUCAGACUCUGGAGUCAGACUGACCUGGGUUCAGAUCUCUGCUCAAUCUCUUCUAGCUGUGAAUCUUGAGGAAGUUUUUCACCUGCAAGUGUAAUUGAACCUAUAUUGAAGGAUUGUUCUCUGUUCUUGCUCAAAGAAUGGUUUGCAUUACUUUAAGAUGACAAUGAUACACAUUCAUGAAGCAACGUUACGUAGGGCUCUAAGAGUGUGUAAUAGGGGCAUUUUACCCAGUCAGGAGACCAAGGGAGGCUGCCCUGAGGAGGUGACAUUUGAGCUAAGAUGGGCGGAAUGAAAAGGAGACUUAUCUUCUGCUGUGUUACCCUGGUUGACUCCAGUUUGGCUUCUACUCCAUGGAAGAGGUUUUACAUUUCAUCUGGCCCUGUGAAUGUGGACUCCGUUUCUCCCCUCCCUGUGCUGACAUUUCUUCCAUUUUGUCCCCCUGAGUGGUGCAAGACAGGAACUUGGAUGGAGCCAGAGGCCAUUAUCCUUAGCA